rnacentral:rRNA from 1 species
AUUGAACGCUGGCGGCAGGCCUAACACAUGCAAGUCGAGCGGAUGAAGGGAGCUUGCUCCUGGAUUCAGCGGCGGACGGGUGAGUAAUGCCUAGGAAUCUGCCUUGUCGUGGGGGAUAACGUCCGGAUACGGGCGCUAAUACCGCAUCCGUCCUUAUGGAGAAAGUGAGGGAUCUUCGGACCUCUCGCUAUCAGAUGAGCCUAGGUCGAAUUAGCUAGUUGGUGGGGUAACGGCCUACCAAGGCGACGAUCCGUAACUGGUCUGAGAGGAUGAUCAGUCACACUGGAACAGAGAAACGGUCCAGACACCUACGGGAGGCAGCAGUGGGGAAUAUUGGACGAUGGGCGAAAGCCUGAUCCAGCCAUGCCGCGUGUGUGAAGAAGGUCUUCGGAUGGUAAAGCACUUUAAGUUGGGAGGAAGGGAAGUAAGUUAAUACCUGGCUGUAUUGACGGUACCAACAGAAUAAGCACCGGCUAACUUCGUG